rnacentral:rRNA from 1 species
UACAGAGGUGCCGAGCGUUAGGCGGAAUCACUGGGCUUAAAGCGUGUGUAGGCGGACUUCUAAGUACCUUGUGAAAUCCCACGGCUCACCCGUGGAACUGCUGGGUAUACUGGUCGUCUUGAGCCACCUAGGGGCCAGCGGAACAAAUGGUGGAGCGGUGAAAUGCGUAGAUAUCAUUUGGAACGCCAACGGUGAAAACAGCUGGCUGGGGGUGUGCUGACGCUGAGACACGAAAGCCAGGGGAGCGAACCGG